GGUGACACCACGGAUGGCAACAAAGGAAGUGAGGAAUACACUUCAGAGGACGCCGUACAGCCACAGGACAACUCUGAUGACCUGUGCGUCGCUGUUACAGAGAAGGGGCCGUCGUGCGAGGAAGAAAACUCCCUGUCCGAAGAAAUCAAACACGGUGUAGCUGUUGCUUCAAGGGAGAAAAGGGUACCACUCAGAAGGCAGCCGAGCUGUGACUCCCUCUUCACCGGGAAGCACCUGAAGCCCGCCGGCGUCUGGAGGCCGUAUGGCCCGCCGCUGUACGGGUACGGCUCCGCCCUGAAUCCGCCGCGCAGGAAAGGGCCGGACACGCUGGUCAUCCUCGCCGCCAUCUUCUACUGCCUGGCCGCCCUGACUGCUGUGGUCUUCGCUGUGCUGUUCAAAACCAACGUCG